CAAGGUUAAAACUCAAAUGAAUUGACGGGGGCCCGCACAAGCGGUGGAGCAUGUGGUUUAAUUCGAUGCAACGCGAAGAACCUUACCUGGUCUUGACAUCCAGAGAAUCCUGCAGAGAUGCGGGAGUGCCUUCGGGAACUCUGAGACAGGUGCUGCAUGGCUGUCGUCAGCUCGUGUUGUGAAAUGUUGGGUUAAGUCCCGCAACGAGCGCAACCCUUAUCCUUUGUUGCCAGCACGUCAUGGUGGGAACUCAAAGGAGACUGCCGGUGAUAAACCGGAGGAAGGUGGGGAUGACGUCAAGUCAUCAUGGCCCUUACGACCAGGGCUACACACGUGCUACAAUGGCGCAUACAAAGAGAAGCGACCUCGCGAGAGCAAGCGGACCUCAUAAAGUGCGUCGUAGUCCGGAUUGGAGUCUGCAACUCGACUCCAUGAAGUCGGAAUCG
rnacentral:rRNA from 2 species